rnacentral:tRNA from 1 species
GAGAAUGUAGCUCAGUGGUAGAAUGUGUACUUUGCAUGUAUAAGGUCCUGGGUUCUAUCCCCAGCAUUGGGG